CGGAGAUCCACCUGCUUCUGCUCCCCACACCUGGCUAGGAAGAAUAGGUUUGUGUGAAGGUGACAAGUCCCAUUUUGGACAUGAUGAGUUCAAGUUCAGUGUUGGCCAUCUAUGGAGAGCUCGGCCACUGUCAACCAUAACACACAGGAAAAUCCAGAAUGGCAGGAAGAGCUGUGCUGACAACUGUGAGACUUCUGAGAUCAGAG
rnacentral:lncRNA from 1 species